AACGAACGCUGGCGGCAGGCCUAACACAUGCAAGUCGAACGGGAUCUUCGGAUCUAGUGGCGGACGGGUGAGUAACGCGUGGGAACGUGCCCUUUGGUUCGGAAUAGCCCCGGGAAACUGGGAGUAAUACCGGAUAAGCCCUACGGGGGAAAGAUUUAUCGCCAAAGGAGCGGCCCGCGGUGGAUUAGGUAGUUUGUGAGGUAAUGGCUCACCAAGGCGACGAUCCAUAGCCGGUUUGAGAGGAUGAUAAGCCACACUGGGACUGAGACACGGCCGAGACUCCAACGGGAGGCGGCAGUGGGGAAUCUUGGACAAUGGGGGAAACCCUGAUCUGGCCAUGCCGCGUGAUCGAUGAAGGCCUUAGGGUUGUAAAGGUCUUUCAGUGGGGAAGAUAAUGACUGUACCCACAGAAGAAGCCCCGGCUGACUCCGUGCCAGCCGCCGCCGUAA
rnacentral:rRNA from 1 species